rnacentral:rRNA from 1 species
CCUACGGGUGACAGCAGUGGGGAAUAUUGGGCAAUGGGCGCAAGCCUGACCCAGCAACGCCGCGUGAAGGAAGAAGGCUUUCGGGUUGUAAACUUCUUUUCUCAGGGACGAAGAAAGUGACGGUACCUGACUAAUAAACCCCGGCUAACUACGUGCCAGCAGCCGCGGUAAUACGGAGGGGGCAAGCGUUAUCCGGAUUUACUGGGUGUAAAGGUAGCGUAGACGGCAGCGCAAGUCCGAAGGGAAAGCCCGGGGCUCAACCCCGGGACUGGUUUGGAAACUGUGAGGCUAGAGUGCGGGGGGGGCAGGCGGAAUUCCUGGUGUAGCGGUGAAAUGCGUAGAUAUCAGGAGGAACACCGGCUGCGAAGGCGGCCUGCUGGACCGUAACUGACGUUGAGGCUCGAAAGCGUGGGGAGCAAACAGGAUUAGAUACCCUUGUAGUC